CGCAACCCUUAUUCAUUAAGUUGCUAACAUUCAGUUGAGAAACUCUAAUGAGACUGCCAGUGAUAAACUGGAGGAAGGUGGGAUGACGUCAAAUCAUCAUGCCCCUUAUGACCUGGGCUACACACGUGCUACAAUGGCCGGUACAAAGAGUUGCGAAACUGUGAAGUUAAGCUAAUCUCAUAAAGCCGGUCUCAGUUCGGAUUGUAGUCUGCAACUCGACUACAUGAAGUCGGAAUCGCUAGUAAUCGCGAAUCAGAAUGUCGCGGUGAAUACGUUCUCGAGUCUU
rnacentral:rRNA from 1 species